rnacentral:misc_RNA from 1 species
GAUGAAGAACGUAGCGAAAUGCGAUAAGUAAUGUGAAUUGCAGAUCUCAGUGAAUCAUCGAAUCUUUGAACGCACCUUGCGCCUUGUGGUAUUCCACAAGGCAUGCCCGUUUGAGUAUCAUUAAAUCAUCAACUCUAAAACCUUUGUGGUUUUUUUAGAGCUUGGUCUUGAGGGUUUUGCAGGCUUUUUUUUUCGAGUCUGCUCCCUUUAAAUGCAUUAGCGAGACUUCCCUAUGCUGAACCGUCUCUUUGACGUGAUAAUUAUCUGCGUCGAAUUUUGGUUCUCGUUGGGCUUGCUUCUAAUCGUCUGUUAAAGACAAAACGGAUUUGGGUGCAUAUAUGCGCCUUUUUCCAAAACCUUUUUUGAUCUCAAAUCGGGUAGGACUACCCGCUGAACUUAAGCAUAUCAAUAAGCGGA